AUGGCAGGAGCCAGUCUUGGGGCCCGCUUCUACCGGCAGAUCAAAAGACAUCCGGGGAUCAUCCCGAUGAUCGGCUUAAUCUGCCUGGGCAUGGGCAGCGCUGCGCUCUACUUGCUGCGACUCGCCCUUCGCAGCCCCGACGUCUGGUAAAGGCCCGGCUUGGGAUGCUCACGGGGGCCUGGGUGAGGCAAGAUGGGGUGGAAAUAGGCGGCCCUAGUGGGGAUCCCGUGCCCUGCUGCAUGCACCUUCGACUGUACCGACCGGCAUCUCAGGGCUGGAGCCCACUGCUGACCUGGGAGACCCCCGUAUCCCCUCCAGCCCACCUGGCCGCUCACUCCUCAGCGUGGCCCGCCCUGAAAUGCGGAACCCGCGCCUCUCCCGGCCUGGUUGCCAUGACGACGCCGCUCAGCCAGCGGCGGGCUCGGGCUUUUGGGUACCUCUAAGUCCUCACCAGAGCACUGGGGUUGUGGCCGGGUGAGCUGCUGGGGGUGGCAUUGGGGACCAGUGUGGGGCGGAGAUUUCACACCCGGCCGCGGAGAGGGUCCGGAAG
rnacentral:sRNA from 1 species